rnacentral:lncRNA from 1 species
CUGCCCUGUGCUCCCAAAGCCAUCCUUGUACACCCUUGUUUGAGUGUUCAGGCAAAUAAAUCUCCAGGGACUGUCUAAUAUCCAGUAUUUCCUCCCCUUGGUGUGAGCUGCUUAAAGACAAGACUCUGACUUUUCUCCUUUAUACCCUAGCUGUUGCUACAAAGUAUCCACUGUUUGGCAUAUAGUAGAUGUUAAAAAAAAAAAAAGUGAUGGAGUUGCCUUUGUGGCUCAGAGGGUUAAGAACCUGACAUAGUGUCCGUGAGGAUGCAGGUUCAAUCCCUGGCCUUGCUCAGUGGGUUGAGGAUCCAAUGUUGCCACAAGCUGUGGCAUAGGAUACAGAUGCAGCUUGGAUCUUGUGUUGCUUUGGCUGUGGUGUAGGCCUGCAGCUGCAACUCCAAUUGGACACAUCCUGGAAACUUCCAUUUGCCACAGGUGCAACUGUAGCAAUUAAAAAAAAAUGACUGUAGGAGUUCCAGUUGUGGUGCAGGAUCGAACCUGCAACCUUAUGGUUCUUAGUCGGAUUCGUUAACCACUGAGCCAUGAUGGGAAUGCCUGAAUAUUUUUUAAAAAUGAAGAAAUUUAGAUGACCAAAGGAAUAAAUAACCUGUCCUUGUUUUCCUCUUCCUUCAUCGUCUUGGAAAACCAUACCAGUUUAUAAAUGCUAUUUCUCAGGUAGACACCGUGGGUGAGUUGCAACAAGGUGUCUGGGACAGCCAUGCCCCCUCCUGAGUUGACUCCUUCCUUCACUAAGCUGAUAUCCCUGAGGACCUACCUUGUGCUAAGUCCUGCUAGAUGCUGGGGAUACCAUGGGGAGAGUAAAAUCCAGAUGGGUCCUCUGCAGCUUCCAAUCUACACAAACGAAAGGUUAGUUACAAAGGAUCUGAGUGCUCCGUGGUGGUGUGCGAAGGGUGGGGCAGGUGCAGGCCUUUGAGGGAGUGUGUUGUCUGUGGAGAAUUUAAAAACAGUAAUAAAACUGAUGGGGAGUCAGUCUGCUUUUUAUUCCCACCAUGAGCCUGCAACUCUAAACCGAGUCACUGAUAAAAAAUACUCUUCAUAGGACUUUUGAGCACCCAAAUACCUGUGCCUGCCUCCCCAGCCCUAAAUCAGGAUCUUCAGGGGAGGCAGUGGCUCAAGCCUCUGACUGUUUCAGGAGCUCCCAGAUACUAUGGACUGAAUUAUGUUCCUCCCAAUCCAUACACUGAAGUCUUCAUCCACCACUCAGUGUCCUGGUAUUUCGAGAUGGGGCCUUUGAGUGACAAUUAAGUUUAAGGGAGGGCAUGAGAGUGAGGCCCUCUUAAUGGGAUUAGUGCCCUUUUAAGAAGGGAUGCCAGAGAACUUGCAAGAUACAGCUGCCAAGAGGAAAGGCCUCAGAAAGAAACCCACCUUGCUGGCGCCUCGACCUUGGAUUUCCCAGCCUCCAGAAUUGUGAGAAAGUAAAUGUCUAUUGAUUAGGCCCAUUGGUCUGUGGGACUUGUUAGGGCAGCCUGAGGUGAUGAAGACACCAGGUGGGUCUGAAGUUCAUACCCCUUUGGGAGCUCUUAAUCUCGACAGGGUUCUUCUACCAUGUGGGUUGGAAAGGACUUUGAACCCUGGAUGGAAACGAGUGCUCCGAGUAAUUGAUUAGUGAUGGGGUCCCAAGGAUGGCAGGGUGCGGGGGUGGAGCGAGGGGACUGGGAAGGUAUUUACCACGAGUGCCGUGCUAUUUGCCUUCCUUCUAAUUCUUGAACAUUUUAACAGCUUCUGUUCUGAGUUUCUUGAAUCCUCUUUUUCCUUCCUGGCCUUGUAGUUCUGAUAACAGUGUGAGCAAAUCCUCAGAGAACUGCACGCCCUUCCCCUUGACUCACUCAUGCUCCUUGGAUUCCAAAAACAGAUGCUCAAGAGCCAAGCGUCACUGUCUGUGUUUGCCCAUAGGGCUUUUCCUUUUGGUUUAUCUUGUUUUGUUUUGUUGUUUUUUCUCAUUUCUUCUCUUCAGAGUUCUGGAACAAGCUUGGGAGUGAUUCAUUAGUCAAAUGUUCUAACUCAAAAACAAAAUAAUCUCUGGCAUUAGAAAUAAAAGAAGACAAUUAAAAUAUAAUAUCAAAUUCCUUAUCGUUCUCAUUCAUUCAGCUGUUGCUUUUGAGUACUUCUAGGAGUCUGUCUCCAUGCUACUGAGUCUUUGGGAGACAAAGAUAAAUAGAAGAUAAAAUCUCUGCCUAGGGAAGCUUCAAGUCAAGCAAGAGAGCCAGUUUUCAUAUCAAAUAAUUAUAAGGUGUUCGGGGCUAUGAUGUGAGAUACUUGGGGAGUACAAAAGAGAGCCCAUUUCUAUAUGAAGCAGGUGUUUGAGGGUUUGCUGGAGUUCUAAUCGUGCUUCUUCCCCCUCUGGGUUCAAUAAUUCAUUAAACAAAUAAAUACCAAGUCCCUUCUAUGUGCCAAACUCUGUUCUAGGCAUUUGGAAUAUAUCAGCAGACAAAACAAGGAUUCCUGCUCUUACAGAGCUUAUAUUGUAACAGGAAGGGCACAUAGAUUGGAAGCAUCAGAUAGGAACCAGCAUAUCAGAUUUAUUGCCUGGUAAAAUGUUGUGGGAGAUUGUGGGUUGGACAUGUGGCUGGAGUCAGUUGCUCCUUCUUUCUGCCCAAGUUCCCUUCCUUCCCACCAUCGUCAGGGGAGAUAAAACCUGUCUCAUCUAGGAGUUACUUUGUGGUGCAGCAGGUUAAAGUCCUGGUAUUGUCACCGAAGCGGCUCAGGUCACUGCUGAGGCCUGGGUUUGAUCCCUAGCCCUGGAACUUCUGCAUGCUGCAAGUGUGCCCUCCCCCCCACCAAAAAACCCAAACCCCUCUGCCUCAUCUUGUCUAUCCUCAGUACCUCUCUUAAGAAGGAAAGCUAUGGGAGUUCCCUCCAUGGCACAGUAGGUUAAGACUCUGAUGGCGUCGAUCCAGGUCACUUUGGAGAUGCUGUUUGAUCCCAGCUGGGAAUUUCUAUAUGCUGUGGGUUUGGCCAUAAAAAGAAAAAAAAAAAAAAA